rnacentral:rRNA from 1 species
UACGGAGGAUCCGAGCGUUAUCCGGAUUUAUUGGGUUUAAAGGGAGCGUAGGUGGAUUGUUAAGUCAGUUGUGAAAGUUUGCGGCUCAACCGUAAAAUUGCAGUUGAAACUGGCAGUCUUGAGAACAGUAGAGGUGGGCGGAAUUCGUGGUGUAGCGGUGAAAUGCUUAGAUAUCACGAAGAACUCCGAUUGCGAAGGCAGCUCACUGGACUGCAACUGACACUGAGGCUCGAAAGUGUGGGUAUCAAACAGG